rnacentral:rRNA from 1 species
AACAUGGAGAGUUUGAUCCUGGCUCAGGAUGAACGCUGGCGGUCUGCUUAACACAUGCAAGUCGAACGAAGUCUUCGGACUGAGUGGCGGACGGGU